AUAAUGCAUUGGCCUGGCUCCAUCUGAAUUACUCAGGGCCAGGCAAAUUUAGCAGGUUUUGUCAGUGUUCCAUUAGCUAAAUGUUGGGUUUCCUGCUUUGUGGGGUGCCUUGGUAAGCCUUUCUGCCUUGGGAGGUGCCCCAGAAAUCACUUCCUUGGGAGUUCCCAUUGUGGCUCAGUGAGUUAAGAACCAGACUAGUAUCCUUGAGGAUGCGGGUUCACUCCCUGGCCCCACUCAGUGGGUUAAGGAUCUGGCAUUGCCAUGAGCUGUGGCAUAAUUUGCUGUAAGAGAAGCAUGUCUUUGGAAGGAAAUAAGGCAUAGCAUAAUGUUCACGGGUACUGGCAUCAUAGGCAGAUCAAAUAAACUAGAAAUGGUUCACCCUAAAGCAACAUGGUAGUAGAUUCAGAAUAGCAUAAUGUGAGUUAAUUUGGAAGGGUUAUGAUAGGUUUUGAAUCUGUAACUAAGAGGAAAUAAUUAAUGGUUUUAAGCCAGAAAAAAAUAAAGCCACUUAUUUCUUUUCUUUUUUCCUUCUCUCCAACAUUUUUCCAAGAAAGAGUUUUGCUCCCAGGUAUAAUUGAGAAAAGAAAUUUAGGAGAACUAAGAGAGUCAUGAUGGUUACGAGUACAUGGGAAGUAAUCUCUGAAGAUGUGAGAUGGUGAAUGGGAGGGUCUCUAUGAGGAUGGAUCCCAAAGAAGCAUUACACAGAAAAGUUCUAGUAUUUUCUUUCUCUUUUUUGGUCUGAAGAUAAACAAGUACCAAGAAGAGACCCAGUGGCCCUUUGUUGGAGAAAUUUGCUUAAGAAAAGCUCCCCAGCAGUAAUCUUUAUUUGGUAUUUCACUUCCCUUGCCCCUUAACAUGUCAUCUGCUCUAACCUAAUUCAGCAACUAUGGCUCCUGAUAAAAAGUUAUCCUUUCUCAUCAGAUCCCUCACUUCUCUCUGGCCAGUUUUCCUCCCUCCAUUCCCUCAUAUUCCACUUCUCUCUUUGCAAGUGACCUUCUUUUUUCCCCAUCAGCCAGGUAGCUGUAGAGCAAAUAUUUUCAAAUAGGGUAGACAGCAUGCCAAACGUGUUCUGAAACAAGCUUGCCAGGCAGUGGUUGUUAGCAUAUGGCUCCUGCUUGAACCUGGCACAGCCUGCCAAAUUCCAUUUUUAAAUUAUGUCUCAUUUCUUAAAAAUUCCCUAAAAACAUAAGAGGCCAGUUUGCUAAGCCAAGCUUAAAUGAGGUAAGUGGGAUGAAAAUGAUGUGUCUGAUAUACGAGGAAAAGCUCAGAAUACCAAAUACACAUAUGGAAGGCAUGUUCUUGGGUUCCAGAUUUCAGCUCUCUCUCUGUCCUAGAAGCUGUUAAAGGACAUACUGACCCUAUCCAACCACUCAUCUUAAGAGUAUACUGUUUGCAAAGAUAUAGAAAGGAUAGAAACAUAAAAUUAAAAUGUUUAAAAAUCCUUGAUUCAAAUGACAUACCAAUAAAUAUUUUACAUGGUUAAAAUAUUUUAUAGUUCUGUGGCAUACUUUUUUGCUACCUACUGCUCAUAAAAAGUCCCAAAUUAAUAUGUGUAUAUACUAUAUGCCUAUUAACUGACAGGAUCCAUGACAAAACCAGUAAUAUUCUACCAAAUUAUGUCAUUCCAAUUAUUUCAUGGUGGUGCAGAUGUUUGCUAAAGAGAAACUGUCCUAAUGCAUAUUACUAAACAAGCAUGCUAUUUGUUAUAUGAUGAGAAACAAGAAUAAUGAAAAAUUACUUGAUGUUCUCAAAAGGAAUCUGCUAUUUUGAGAAGUCCAUAUACAUGCAUGUAUUAAACUUCCUUUUAUACCUGGUUAAUUAUGUGGGUAUUUUUCUGUUCUUCACUGGGACCUUAAUUUUCUGAUCUAAACAUAGCCAGUUACACGGUAAUUAAUCUUUGAGCUUUCUGAUGACUUCAAGUAUUAUUAAGCAGCAAUUUGCAGAACCAUUUCAUUAUAAAGUAAUGAUUAGUUUUAUAUGCAAUUCCCUAGCACUUUUCAGCUAAGAAUUUCAAAAUGGCUUACAGAUUCAAGAUAAAAAUGUUGGGGCUUCAUUUUUCUGUUCAAAAUCAACAAAAAAUAGAAGUGAAUGUCAAAGGUCUUAUUCCAUUUGCUCAACUGCCAUGAGCCUGCAGAGUUCCCCUAGAUCAAGAACUCUAGAACUUAGCCAAUUCAAUCAACAUCUGAAGACAUUUUUUUUUUUAAAUCAGGAUGAGCUACUCCCAAAGCAAAUGAAAGUGUUAAGACAUCCAUGUUCGUGGAAUGACCAAGUACAAACCAUCCUCAUGUAAAGAGGAGAGAAUGUUACCUUUUGUGUAAUUGCAUAGGCUGGAAUACUCUCUUGACACUUCUCCUUUGGACUGGCCAAUUUCCACAUGCUUUUGCAUUUUUUUUUUGUUUUAUUACUCAAAUGAAUUUAUCACAUCUGUAGUUAUACAAUGAUCAUAAUAAUCCAAUUUCACAGGAUUUCCCUCCCAUAACCUAAGCACAUCCCCCCACCCCCAAAACUGUCUCCUCUGGAGACCAUAAGUUUUUCAAUGUCUGUGAAUCAGCAUCUGUUCUGCAAAGAAGUUCAGUCUGUCCUUUUUUCAAAUUCCACAUGUCAGUGAAAGCAUUUGAUGUUGGUAUCUCAUUUUAUGGCUGACUUCACUUAGUAUGAUACUUUCUAGGUCCAU
rnacentral:lncRNA from 1 species